UACGUAGGGUGCGAGCGUUAAUCGGAAUUACUGGGCGUAAAGCGUGCGCAGGCGGUUCGUUGUGUCGGUGGUGAAAGCCCCGGGCUUAACCUGGGAAUGGCCAUGGAAACUGGCGAGCUGGAGUGUGGCAGAGGGGGGUGGAAUUCCGCGUGUAGCAGUGAAAUGCGUAGAGAUGCGGAGGAACACCGAUGGCGAAGGCAGCCCCCUGGGCUAGCACUGACGCUCAGGCACGAAAGCGUGGGGAGCAAACAGG
rnacentral:rRNA from 1 species